rnacentral:rRNA from 1 species
AUGGAAUUUGACUCUUCUGAUGAAGAUUACUCAUAUGAUGAAGAUCAAGAGGGGAACAUGGUUAGGAGGAAGAGCAGAUACCCAAGAUUUAACUCUGAAACUGAUAUCCCACAUUUCAGUUUAGGGAUGGUUUUCAGGAGCAAAAAUCAGUUUCUAAAAGCUGUUAAGAGAUAUGGUCUUGCUACAAAAAGAAGCAUCAGAUUUGUGAAGUCUGAGGAGAAUAGGGUUAGAGCCAAAUGUGCAUGGCCUGGCUGUCCAUGGCUUGUGUAUAGAGCAAAAACAAGCAGGUGCUCAAGGUUCCAAAUAAUAACAUAUGAGGAAGAGCAUCACUGUGCACAAAACAGAGAAAACAGGCUUGUUUCUGCAAAGGUCAUAGCAGAAAAAUAUCAGCAUUUCAUUCUGGCCAAUCCUAUG